UACGGAGGAUCCAAGCGUUAUCCGGAUUUAUUGGGUUUAAAGGGUGCGUAGGCGGCCUGUUAAGUCAGGGGUGAAAGACGGUGGCUCAACCAUCGCAGUGCCUCUGAUACUGACGGGCUUGAAUGCAGCUGAGGUAGGCGGAAUGUGGCAAGUAGCGGUGAAAUGCAUAGAUAUGCCACAGAACACCAAUUGCGAAGGCAGCUUACCAAAGUGUGAUUGACGCUGAGGCACGAAAGCGUGGGGAUCAAACAG
rnacentral:rRNA from 1 species